GGACGAACGCUGGCGGCGUGCUUACCACAUGCAAGUCGAACGGAAAGGCCCCUUUGGGGGUACUCGAGUGGCGAACGGGUGAGUAACACGUGAGUAACCUGCCCUUGACUUCGGGAUAACUUCAGGAAACUGGGGCUAAUACCGGAUAGGAAUCCUUGCUGCAUGGUGGGGGUUGGAAAGCUUCGGCGGUUUUGGAUGGACUCGCGGCUUAUCAGCUUGUUGGUGGGGUAGUGGCUUACCAAGGCUUUGACGGGUAGCCGGCCUGAGAGGGCGACCGGCCACAUUGGGACUGAGAUACGGCCCAGACUCCUACGGGAGGCAGCAGUGGGGAAUAUUGCACAAUGGGCGGAAGCCUGAUGCAGCAACGCCGCGUGCGGGAUGACGGCCUUCGGGUUGUAAACCGCUUUCAGCAGGGGCGAAGCUUGUGGUGACGGUACCUGCAGAAGAAGCACCGGCUAACUACGUG
rnacentral:rRNA from 1 species